GCUCUGUGAUGAAUCCCAUGCGUGUCAUCUGAGCCUGGCUUCCCUGUUGUCUAGCCCUGCUAGUGUUCUACUUCCCAGGGCUGUCUGGCUUGUCAGGGAAUUCCUGGGCAAAGGAUCAGUCCUUGAAUUCUGAGAGC